GAUGAAGAACGCAGCGAAAUGCGAUACGUAGUGUGAAUUGCAGAAUUCAGUGAAUGAUCGAAUCUUUGAACGCACAUUGCACCUCUCGGUAUUCCGGGAGGUAUGCCUGUUCGAGCGUCAUUUGUACCCUCAAGCUCUGCUUGGUGUUGGGUGUUUGUUCCGCCUCUGUGUGUGAACUCGCCUCAAAACAAUUGGCAGCCGGCGUACUUGUUUCGGAGCGCAGCACAUUUUGCGAUCCAGAUCAACGUACAGCGGCAUCCAAGAAGCCUUAUUUAACGCUCUUGACCUCGGAUCAGGUAGGGAUACCCGCUGAACUUAAGCAUAUCAAUAAGCGGAGGA
rnacentral:misc_RNA from 1 species